rnacentral:tRNA from 1 species
CUUUGCCCUGGUUUGGUGAAUGCUGAUUUGGAAAAUCAAUCGAUUCAUUGGUUGUUGACGCAGCAGUUUCAAAUUCCGCUGGUGAAGG